rnacentral:tRNA from 1 species
CGGGCUGUAGCGCAGUUUGGUUAGCGCGCUGCGUUCGGGACGCAGAGGUCGGAGGUUCAAAUCCUCUCAGCCCGACAA